GCCCCUCUAUCUCUUCCGCCAAUUUAUUUUCAGCUACUGUGGGAGUCAACCGUAGGAACAAUUUACUAUGCCAGUUGGGGAAUAGCAGCCGAUGGGAUUUGCGUAUGGCAGCGACUGGACUUUUACCUUGAUGAUUUCAGCUGCGCAUUGUUCCGGGUAGUCUGAUAGUCUGUCAAAGUGAGAUUUCAACCAAGGUAGAUCUCCCAGAGCUGCAACUUGGAUUAUAACGAAGACAGCCGUUUGGAUUUCAGCAUCUGCUCAGGCAGCCAUAUCCCUGAAUAACACAAUUACCAGGAAGACCAGACUUCCAGUGGACUAAAGCUGUGAGUGACGGACACAGACCGGCAGGGUCAACCACUUUAGAAGGAGAAGGAGAGCUGGAACCCAUCGUUAACAUGUCAUACUACAACAACAGUGGACAUAACAACCUGGCCUAUCAUGACAGCGACACUCUGCAGAUCGAUAGGUGGUGCGUGAGCCGCCUGGUGUGACCGUGUUGUGUACAUCAUAGGCUAAAUGAGAGGGAAACAACAUGACAAGUUUAGCCAAACAAUGUUGCCCAGGACCAGACAAUGAAUCAGAGAGGCUCUCCUUGUUCUGUCAUUAUAAAUGCAAACUCUCAUAGUAAAGUGCUUGGGAAUAAUCACUUUAGCUGAGAUUUCUGUUUUUGUCGUUGACCAUCAGGAAUUCAACUUCUAGACAAAGUCAUUCAGGUAGAAAAUCCUCUUGAUGAAAUCCUCCUCCUUUGGGUAUAAAGGGCUGUUUUAAAGCUAAAUUAGUUUGUUGUAAUUUAAAGUUAAUAUUUUUCCAAGUCUCGCAGAGCGUUAUGACCUGUCAGUGGUGAAACAGCAGUGAUGGUGAACACUAACUCAGUUACUAUAGUCAGCCAAUUACAACCCUCCUUUUCCUAUAGGUAAUUAAUUGUCACACUUUAAGCCGUUCGGGAAAAUAUUUGUUUUUCAGAAAAAUGUCGCCGCAUGUUAAUGAUGGUGUAGUAAUUUGACCACCGGUGACUUUAUUAUAACGCCACUUGGGAUGAUCUUGGAUUGAC
rnacentral:lncRNA from 1 species